rnacentral:rRNA from 1 species
CAUGCAAGUCGAGGGGCAGCAUGAUUUGUAGCAAUACAGAUUGAUGGCGACCGGCGCACGGGUGAGUAACGCGUACGCAACUUACCUAUCAGAGGGGGAUAGCCCGGCGAAAGUCGGAUUAAUACCCCAUAAAACAGGGGUCCCGCAUGGGAAUAUUUGUUAAAGAUUCAUCGCUGAUAGAUAGGCAUGCGUUCCAUUAGGCAGUUGGCGGGGUAACGGCCCACCAAACCGACGAUGGAUAGGGGUUCUGAGAGGAAGGUCCCCCACAUUGGUACUGAGACACGGACCAAACUCCUACGGGAGGCAGCAGUGAGGAAUAUUGGUCAAUGGCCGAGAGGCUGAACCAGCCAAGUCGCGUGAAGGAAGAAGGAUCUAUGGUUUGUAAACUUCUUUUAUAGGGGAAUAAAGUGGAGGACGUGUCCUUUUUUGUAUGUACCCUAUGAAUAAGCAUCGGCUAACUCCGUGCCAGCAGCCGCGGUAAUACGGAGGAUGCGAGCGUUAUCCGGAUUUAUUGGGUUUAAAGGGUGCGUAGGUGGUGAUUUAAGUCAGCGGUGAAAGUUUGUGGCUCAACCAUAAAAUUGCCGUUGAAACUGGGUUACUUGAGUGUGUUUGAGGUAGGCGGAAUGCGUGGUGUAGCGGUGAAAUGCAUAGAUAUCACGCAGAACUCCGAUUGCGAAGGCAGCUUACUAAACCAUAACUGACACUGAAGCACGAAAGCGUGGGGAUCAAACAGGAUUAGAUACCCUGGUAGUCCACGCAGUAAACGAUGAUUACUAGGAGUUUGCGAUACAAUGUAAGCUCUACAGCGAAAGCGUUAAGUAAUCCACCUGGGGAGUACGCCGGCAACGGUGAAACUCAAAGGAAUUGACGGGGGCCCGCACAAGCGGAGGAACAUGUGGUUUAAUUCGAUGAUACGCGAGGAACCUUACCCGGGUUUGAACGUAGUCUGACCGG